rnacentral:rRNA from 1 species
UACGUAGGGGGCAAGCGUUGUCCGGAAUCAUUGGGCGUAAAGAGCGUGUAGGCGGCCCGGUAAGUCCGCUGUGAAAGUCCAGGGCUCAACCCUGGGAUGCCGGUGGAUACUGUCGGGCUUGAGUCCGGAAGAGGAGUGUGGAAUUCCUGGUGUAGCGGUGAAAUGCGCAGAUAUCAGGAGGAACACCAAUGGCGAAGGCAGCACUCUGGGACGUGACUGACGCUGAGACGCGAAAGCGUGGGGAGCAAACAGG